rnacentral:tRNA from 1 species
CAGAAAAUAGUUUAUAAAAAUAUUAAUUUUGGAGAUUAAAGAUGAGGGUUCUCUUUUCUGA